AUAGUAAGUUUCCUGUGGUUGCCUAUAGAAAACUUCUGAUUUCAUUUUUAAUUACUAGUAGUGCUUAAAUCACACCUUUGCCUGUUAUGCUCUGAAUUUCGAAGAUAAUGUGCAGCAGCUGAUACGAGCUCUCUGCACUUCAGAAGCACCAACCUGCAGAGCUGCCUGGGGGAGAAGGAGGAAGAAUCUCAUUUCUCUGCCUGUACCACCGCUGGGAUUAAAGGUCUGUGAAGGCUGAUGCAACUUCAGGAGCAGAGCUGACAAAGGAGUACCUGCUGGUAGCAUUGUAGGGUGCUACUGAGCACCUCCCUGCCUCAGACAUCAGUGUCCCACCCAGGGAUUCCCUCUGUUGUGAUUCCCCUCUUGCUGGGGGAAUGUUGGAGUAGUGGCUGCUCCUCAGGGUGCAGUAGCUCCAGUGUGGUGCAUCUGGCCUACUGUCAAUGAGUGUGGGGAGACCAAAGCUAUGGCUGAUGGUAGUCACAGGUGAAGUGGUUUCACUGGUGAUCAUGAUCCCAGUCAUGGGUUCUGAAAUACCUGGCACAAAUUAAGUAUCCUUGUUAUUUUCCUCCACAGCAAACAAGACAUUUUUCCUUCAUGCUUGCUAGAGAGGAACACAACUGAGAGAGAUUAGCAUAUUUAUUGGCUGAAGUAACAGAAAUUUGGGCGGGGGGUAAAUGUUGUGAAUAAGAGUCAAUUAUUACUUUCUUGACUGAAAAUUGAUCUAAGACUAUACCUGGACUUUGUUAAGGCUUGUAAAAUAGCAGAUGCUCUUACUGAGGCUGCCACAAAUGUUUUGUGAGACUUGCUUGUUCUGAUCAAGCAGUACAGAUGUGAGGAAAGCAGACCAUGUCCAUCAGAAAGAUGAAAGAAAAAGAAAGGGCCCCUUCCCACUAUUAAUUUCACUGUAUUUGGUUCCUUGAGGCUUGUUUCAUAUCACUUUGGGGUUUCCACUCCUGAUGUGUCUGUCAUGACUAAUCUCAUAAUUUAAAGUUUUAAGCCACUCAGGAUAUGGAAUGGCAAAGCUCUUACAAAAGGAUGACCAGCAAUAUGUUAAACCCAUCUUAAUUCCAUUGUUGGAAUUAAAACCACUUGCAUGUAAGCAUUAGCUGGAUAAGACAGCAAAUUGCUGCUCUCUGUAAGUGUUAAACCAACCCUAGGAAAUCUUGCACUGUUAUGAAAUUUUGUGAUUUAUAUCAGCUAUUAAGAAAUAUUAAAAGUCUUCAACUAUGCAGAAGUGCACUAUCGCUCGAGGGGAUCUGGAGAUGCUUGUAUUGUGAAGUGAUCCCUUAUGAGAAAAACUCUUCUUUAUUUGACAGCUGCAUUGUUCACCCCAUGAUCUGCUUCCAAAAUAUUUCAAGUUGUGGAUUAGCUGCACUGUUUUAAUUACUAAAUACAGGCUUUUUUAAUCAACCAUGCUUCUAAUGCCUGAGGAAUUUGCCUGAUCCUCUGGUAAAUGUUAAGUCUUUGUUAGCAAGAGGCAUUUGAAGAAUAGCUCAGUAGUCUGAAGGCUAAAGAAAAUCCAUAAAAAACAAAGAUAUAUUUUCAUUUUUCUAGUUCUGUAUAUGAAAAAAAAUGCUGAUAUGCUAU